AUUAAACAUGACACCAAGAGGAAAUGUUACUUCCUGUUAUUUAAACUUCACCUGACCUUUUCUAAUACUCAAGCAAGUAGUCCUUUAAGACAGGUUAUUAUAUUUGGUCAAAGGAGGUCAUUUUCCCCACAGCGGGAUCCAGGAUUUACGUCUGAACUGAUCUGCGAUGAAACAGAAAAUGGUGGAAUUUAUUAUGAAAUUAGUCUGCUCAGUUUCUAAAAACAGCAGCCUGGUGUUUUAUCGCAUCAAGUGGCUCUCAGGAUGUCAAACAUGAGUCUUACUGGACAUGAACCUCUGAGGUGUGCAGCAGUUGCGCUGGAGGAGAGUGUGUUUAGUAGGUGUGAUGUUUGGUCUCCAGGGCUGUGUUUAGCAGUGGUCUACAUUAGCCUGGAG
rnacentral:lncRNA from 1 species